AACGAACGCUGGCGGCAUGCCUAACACAUGCAAGUCGAACGAGACCUUCGGGUCUAGUGGCGCACGGGUGUGUAACGCGUGGGAACCUUCCCUUAGGUUCGGAAUAACUCUCCGAAAGGGGUGCUAAUACCGGAUAAUGUCUUAGGACCAAAGAUUUAUCGCCUUUGGAUGGGCCCGCGUUGGAUUAGCUUUUUGGUAGGGUAAUAGCCUACCAAGGCGACGAUCCAUAGCUGGUUUGAGAGGAUGAUCAGCCACACUGGGACUGAGACACGGCCCAGACUCCUACGGGAGGCAGCAGUGGGGAAUAUUGGACAAUGGGCGAAAGCCUGAUCCAGCAAUGCCGCGUGAGUGAUGAAGGCCUUAGGGUUGUAAAGCUCUUUUACCCGGGAUGAUAAUGACAGUACCGGGAGAAUAAGCUCCGGCUAACUCCGUG
rnacentral:rRNA from 1 species